AACGAACGCUGGCGGCAGGCCUAACACAUGCAAGUCGAACGCCGUAGCAAUACGGAGUGGCAGACGGGUGAGUAACGCGUGGGAACAUACCCCUCGGUUCGGAAUAACUUAGGGAAACUUGAGCUAAUACCGGAUACGUCCGAGGUUUUAACCGGCCUCGGAGAAAGAUUUAUCGCCGGAGGAUUGGCCCGCGUCUGAUUAGCUUGUUGGUGAGGUAAUGGCUCACCAAGGCGACGACCAGUAGCUGGUCUGAGAGGAUGAUCAGCCACAUUGGGACUGAGACACGGCCCAAACUCCUACGGGAGGCAGCAGUGGGGAAUAUUGGACAAUGGGCGAAAGCCUGAUCCAGCCAUGCCGCGUGAGUGAUGAAGGCCUUA
rnacentral:rRNA from 1 species